UACCUGCAGCUCAAGUGGUGACCACUAUUAUUGGGCCUAAAACGUUCGUAGCCGGUUUAUUAAAUGCUUGGGUAAAUCGUGUAGCUUAACUAUACGAAUUCCGGGUAGACUGAUAGACUUGAGACCGGGAGAAGCUAGAGGUACUCCUGGGGUAGAGGUGAAAUUCUGUAAUCCUGGGGGGACCACCAGUGGCGAAGGCGUCUAGCUAGAACGGGUCUGACGGUGAGGAACGAAGCCCUGGGGCGCAAACCGGAUUAGAUACCCGGGUAGUCCAGGGUGUAAACGCUGCUUGCUUGAUGUUAGUUGGGCUCCGAGCCCAAUUAGUGUCGGAGAGAAGUUGUUAAGCAAGCUGCCUGGGAAGUACGAUCGCAAGAUUGAAACUUAAAGGAAUUGGCGGGGAGCACAGCAACGGGUGGAGCGUGCGGUUU
rnacentral:rRNA from 1 species